rnacentral:rRNA from 1 species
UACGUAGGUGACAAGCGUUGUCCGGAUUUACUGGGCGUAAAGAGCGCGCAGGCGGUCGAUCAAGUCGAGUGUGAAAGCCCCCGGCUCAACUGGGGAGGGUCAUUCGAUACUGAUCGACUCGAAGGCAGGAGAGGGUAGUGGAAUUCCCGGUGUAGUGGUGAAAUGACGUAGAUAUCGGGAGGAACACCAGUGGCGAAGGCGACUUCUUGGCCUGUUCUUGACGCUGAGGCGCGAAAGCUGGGGGAGCAAACGGGG